CAGCAGCAGCCCGAUCAGGGAGCAGAGGAGGGGCUGGUGGCCUGUUCUUCCUCUUCACUCUGCUGUGUUUGGUUUGCCUCGCAAGCUCACGGUUAGACGAUGACAAACUGAAGAAUAUCAAAUGGUUCGUUCAGAAAGUGGAAAAAGAGAUUGCCCGUCUGCAGGACCAAAGGGACACUUUAUCAGGCUUCAUGAGAGCAUAUGAGAGUCAAUCUGAACCAAUAAUCGCAUCAGUGGAGAAAUUCAUAGAAGAAUCUGACGACUCCGUGCCGCUGAAGGGAUUUCUGGAGAAUGCCAAGAGGUUCAUGGAGAACACCAAGAACAUCAUUCGGCAAACCAGAACUGUCCUAGAAGGGGAUCAUGAGCAGUUGGAUGCAAGUAGAGCUGACUUGGAACUUCAACUGGGAAAAGUGAAGGAAUACAUCAAAAGCUCGGAGGAGUAUCUAGCUGAGUUGUGAUGUCCAUGUCAGUCAAGGUCUCUACUGUAUAUCUGGUAUUGCAUCUAUUAUAUCUCAAUUUUGUUUUCCUUAUUGUGUUUCUUUGCACUGGAACCACACAUUUUAUUUUAACUUGCUUAUGAUACAAUUUUAAAGUAGAAACAAUGUUUGAAUACAAAGUUAAACAACAUAAGUACAUCUAAAUUAUUUACUUCUACUUAAGUUUGAUUUGUUUUUGUUUUCUUAAAUCUGUAUUCCUGAGCAAUACUUUCGGACAAUAAAUGUGUAAUUGAACUAUCGCAUCAGUAUGAAAUUAACUGUACAACCCAAAUAAAUCCAUAUAAGGAGA